GACGAACGCUGGCGGCGUGCUUAACACAUGCAAGUCGAACGGUAAGGCCCUUCGGGGUACACGAGUGGCGAACGGGUGAGUAACACGUGGGUGAUCUGCCCUGCACUUCGGGAUAAGCCUGGGAAACUGGGUCUAAUACCGGAUAGGACCACUGCCUGCAUGGGUGGUGGUGGAAAGCUUUUGCGGUGUGGGAUGGGCCCGCGGCCUAUUAGCUUGUGGGUGGGGUGAUGGCCUACCAAGGCGACGACGGGUAGCCGGCCUGGGAGGGUGACCGGCCACACUGGGACUGAGAUACGGCCCAGACUCCUACGGGAGGCAGCAGUGGGGAAUAUUGCACAAUGGGCGCAAGCCUGAUGCAGCGACGCCGCGUGAGGGAUGACGGCCUUCGGGUUGUAAACCUCUUUCAGCACCGACGAAGCGCAAGUGACGGUAGGUGCAGAAGAAGGACCGGCCAACUACGUGCCAGCCGCCGCAGUAACAC
rnacentral:rRNA from 1 species